UACGUAGGGGGCGAGCGUUGUUCGGAAUUACUGGGCGUAAAGCGCACGUAGGCGGCUUGGUAAGUUGGGGGUGAAAUCCCAGGGCUCAACCCUGGAACUGCCUCCAAAACUGCUAGGCUAGAGGAUGCGAGAGGUUGGCGGAAUUCCGAGUGUAGAGGUGAAAUUCGUAGAUAUUCGGAAGAACACCAGUGGCGAAGGCGGCCAACUGGCGCAUUUCUGACGCUGAGGUGCGAAAGCGUGGGGAGCAAACAGG
rnacentral:rRNA from 1 species